UUUCCGUAGGUGAACCUGCGGAAGGAUCAUUACAGAGUUCAUGCCCUCACGGGUAGAUCUCCCACCCUUGAAUAUUUAUACCUUAGUUGCUUUGGCAGGCCGUGGAAACACCAUGGGCUCCGGCUUAUGCGUGCCUGCCAGAGGAAACAAACUCUGUUUUUAGUGUUGUCUGACUACUAUAUAAUAGUUAAAACUUUCAACAACGGAUCUCUUGGUUCUG
rnacentral:misc_RNA from 1 species